rnacentral:misc_RNA from 1 species
GGGGAAUUUUCCGCAAUGGGCGAAAGCCUGACGGAGCAAUACCGCGUGAGGGACGAAGGCUUUUGGGUCGUAAACCUCUUUUCUCAAGGAAGAAUAUGACGGUACUUGAGGAAUAAGCAUCGGCUAACUCCGUGCCAGCAGCCGCGGUAAUACGGAGGAUGCAAGCGUUAUCCGGAAUGAUUGGGCGUAAAGCGUCCGCAGGUGGUUUUGUAAGUCUGCUGUUAAAGCGUCAUGCUUAACAUGAUAAGGGCAGUGGAAACUAUGAGACUAGAGUAUGUUAGGGGUAGAGGGAAUUCCCAGUGUAGCGGUGAAAUGCGUAGAGAUUGGGAAGAACACCGGUGGCGAAAGCGCUCUGCUAGGACAAUACUGACACUGAGGGACGAAAGCUAGGGGAGCGAAUGGGAUUAGAUACCCCAGUAGUCCUAGCCGUAAACGAUGGAUACUAGGCGUUGCCCGUAUCGACCCGGGCAUUGUCGUAGCUAACGCGUUAAGUAUCCCGCCUGGGGAGUACGCACGCAAGUGUGAAACUCAAAGGAAUUGACGGGGGCCCGCACAAGCGGUGGAGUAUGUGGUUUAAUUCGAUGCAACGCGAAGAACCUUACCAGGACUUGACAUGUCGCGAAUCAUGGGGAAACUCGUGAGUGCCUUCGGGAGCGCGAACACAGGUGGUGCAUGGCUGUCGUCAGCUCGUGUCGUGAGAUGUUGGGUUAAGUCCCGCAACGAGCGCAACCCUCGUUUUUAGUUGCCAGCAUUAAGUUGGGCACUCUAGAGAGACUGCCGGUGACAAACCGGAGGAAGGUGGGGAUGACGUCAAGUCAGCAUGCCCCUUACGUCCUGGGCUACACACGUACUACAAUGCGACGAACAAAGGGCAGCUACACAGCAAUGUGAUGCAAAUCUAUGAAAUCGUCGCUCAGUUCAGAUUGAAGGCUGCAACUCGCCUUCAUGAAGUCGGAAUCGCUAGUAAUGCAGGUCAGCAUACUGCAGUGAAUUCGUUCCCGGGCCUUGUACACACCGCCCGUCACACCAUGGAAGCUGGUCACGCCCGAAGUAGUUAUCCUAACAGUUCGCUGGGGGAGACUCCGAAGGUAGGGCUGGUGACUGGGGUGAAGUCGUAACAAGGUAGCCGUACCGGAAGGUGUGGCUGGAUCACCUCCUUUUUAGGGAGACCCAUCAAGUCAAAACAAGAAAGUGAAGAGUAAAAAGAAUUUGAAAAGUAGUUCUUUUGGCUUUAAGCUUUAAAUGUUUAACUUGAUCUACCCGAGGUCGGUUGUGAAUGCAAUGUGGCUAUCAAACUAUAUCAUUGGUUCGUAUUGGGCUAUUAGCUCAGGUGGUUAGAGCGCACCCCUGAUAAGGGUGAGGUCCCUGGUUCAAGUCCAGGAUGGCCCACAUUAGUUUUGGGGGUUUAGCUCAGUUGGUAGAGCGCCUGCUUUGCAAGCAGGAUGUCAGCGGUUCGAGUCCGCUAACCUCCACAUUGACUCGGUGUAGAUGCAUAUAGUAGAUAUAUGUGAUAGACAUGAGCAAAAAAAUUGGGAAAUUCAGCAACUGUAGUUAUUAAUAGUAGUAAAGAUAACUAAGCCUGCUGGAUGUAUUAUCCAGUAAAAGAACCUUGAAAACUGCAUAGUGACGCAAAUAGUAGGCAGUAAAUGCCUUGAAGGUUAAUUACAGAAGUACUUUAGUUGUGUAAUUAAGACGGCAAAGGCAUGUAUUGUAUUACAGAUAAUCCUUGAAUUGAAAAAAGGUCAAGCGAAUAAGGGCUGACGGUGGAUGCCUAGGCACACAGAG